GACGAACGCUGGCGGCGUGCUUAACACAUGCAAGUCGAGCGGUAAGGCCCUUUCGGGGGUACACGAGCGGCGAACGGGUGAGUAACACGUGGGUGACCUGCCCUCAGCUCUGGGAUAAGCCUGGGAAACUGGGUCUAAUACUGGAUAUGACUCCACGGUGCAUGUCGUGGGGUGGAAAGCCUUGUGCGGCUGAGGAUGGGCCCGCGGCCUAUCAGCUUGUUGGUGGGGUGANGGCCUACCAAGGCGACGACGGGUAGCCGGCCUGAGAGGGCGACCGGCCACACUGGGACUGAGACACGGGCCCAGACUCCUACGGGAGGCAGCAGUGGGGAAUCUUGCGCAAUGGGCGAAAGCCUGACGCAGCGACGCCGCGUGAGGGAUGACGGCCU
rnacentral:rRNA from 1 species